ensembl:lncRNA
AUUACUUUCACAUCAUUUCUCAUCUGCUGUAGGCUGUGCUUGUUUUGGAUUCAGAUCAAAAAACGCUCCCUACAGAGCAUAUAGUGUGACAUUUAACAAGAGGUCAUAUAUGACAGGAUAACAUGAAGACGAGUCAAGCAGUACAUAUGAAAUGAUUGCAGAAGAAAGAUGCCUAGGGUUCCUGCUUACCUGCGUGAACAUGACAUAGGCCUGCUGCAGGGAGGCAUGAGGACUGCAGAUGUGUCCAGAGAAAUAUACUGCAAUGUCUGUAAUGUAAGACGCCUAAGACGGUGCUACAGGGAGACAGGAAGGACAGCUGAUCGUCCUUGCAGUGGAAAAUUACAUGUAACCGUGCGUCCCCCCAGACACGAUGCCUUGGUGGAAGGGUGGAGGAACAUCUCACAGCAAGAACUGACCAAUCUGGUGCAGUCCAUGAGGAUGAGAUGCACUGUAGUACUUAAAGCAGCUGGAGUCCACCAGAUACUGACUGUUAAUUUUAAUAUUGACCCCCCCUUUGUUCAGGGACUCAUUAUUCCAUUUCUGUUCGCCAAAUGUCUGUGAAACUUGUUCAGUUUACGUCUCAGUUCUUG